GGGAGGAUGACGGAGCGGCGAACGGGUGAGUAACACGUGGGCAACCUGCCCCUAGCUCUGGGAUAAGCCCGGGAAACCGGGUCUAAUACCGGAUAUGAGAUCGGAAGGCAUCUUCUGACCUGGAAAGUUUUUCGGCUGGGGAUGGGCCCGCGGCCUAUCGGCUUGUUGGUGAGGUAACGGCCCACCAAGGCGACGACGGGUAGCCGGCCUGAGAGGGCGACCGGCCACACUGGGACUGAGACACGGCCCAG
rnacentral:rRNA from 1 species